rnacentral:rRNA from 1 species
CAAACCGGAGGAAGGUGGGGACGACGUCAAGUCAUCAUGGCCCUUAUGUCCUGGGCUACACACGUGCUACAAUGGCCGGUACAGAGCGCAGCGAGGCCGCGAGGCGGAGCGAAUCGCUUAAAGCCGGUCCCAGUACGGAUUGGAGUCUGCAACCCGACUCCAUGAAGUUGGAAUCGCUAGUAAUCGCGCAUCAGCAUGGCGCGGUGAAUACGUUCCCGGGCCUU